GCCUGUUUUGCUAAGUGGUUAGAGCAUCAGCCUGCAGACUGAAGGGUCAAGGGUUCAAUUCCUGUCAAGGGCA
rfam:Myotis brandtii contig268991, whole genome shotgun sequence.